GCCUCCGAAGUGUACAAGUUCCGUCCUUCGUGAACCAGCCAGGCCGGUGCCGUGUAGUCUCGGAGGAGGACUCGCCUUUUCCGGUUCAGGUUGUCACGGCGCCCGGGCUUGCCUCGUUUUUUCCGGUCUCAGUCCGGCGUGGCAGGGUAGACAGGCCGCCUUUAGCCCUUUCAAGCCCUUUCUGUCAUGGCUACGCCCAACCUUUUUCCGGCAGCAACCUGUCAUGGCGUCCCCGUGAGUAGCCACUUCCGUGAGUAGCCACUUCCGGAUCCAGCCCACUACGUGUCCCUGGCUGUUCUGAUUCCGCGAUGCUCUGGUGGCGCCCAAGGCUCAGCGGAAGUAAAACGUCAGACGUGAGGCGGUGCCUCUGCGGAAACCAGCGCGGCGCUGGGAAAGAUGGGGGCGGUGUUGGCUGGGUCUGGGGGCAGCGGACUGUCUUGAGGGGCUCGGCCUUGCUAGGCCUGGCCCACCCCGUCGAGCAGCCCAAGCCCAGGUUGCAGCCGCGUACCCUCUUUGCAGCGCGCGUGCUCCUUGUCGCUGGACCUGCACUCACAGUGAGUGAGUUGGUCGCCGCCCUGUGGCUGAACCGGUGGCUGGCGCUGCUGCGGCGCCUCACGGUGCUGCCAUUCGAGGGGCUGCUCUACCUGGCCAGGCUGGGCGCCGCGGCCACUGGUUGCCGGGGCUGGCAGCUGGACGUAGGUCCCCGAGGCCACGUUGCUCGUGCUCGCCACCAUAUGCCUCGCGCUCUCACUCACCCUUCUCUCGGCGCAUUGGUACGAGGACGCGCAGUGCGCACUCACCUGCAUCCCGGGCUAUUGGGCAUUUUCUAGACUUAUUUCACCCGGAUACUAGAAAUGAGCAGCUACACAGACCUGGUGUACAAGAAAUAAGAUCUAAUCUACAAAAUAAAUUUGCAUUCUGCAGCCUGAGCCUCAGCACUAAAAGGACAUCAAUAUACUAUCUCUGCUUGUUUCAGUUUUUACACACAAAAAAGAGACUGCAAACUGGUGACCUGCCAGCUUGAUUCAACUAGCAGAUGUAGUUUUUACAGAGAGAGAAUGUUUUAAAAAUCAAAAGAAUUCAUGAGAAAACCUGGACCUCCAGCUCUCUUAAAAUAAGAUUUGGAAACCCAGGACCCAUAUUCCUGCCUGGCAACAAUUGACUUGAGCUGGAUAAACGCUGCCCCCUUUAAAAGCUACUGAGCUUGCACACCUCAACUAGAGAUCCUGCGUGCUUGCAAACUACAGAGCCCACACACCCUGGAGCCCACGUGCCACAACUGGAGAGAGAAAACCUGCACGCUGCAAUGAAGAGCCUGUGCACCACAACAAAAGAUCCUGCAUGCCUCAACGAAGAUCCUGUGUGCCACAACUAAGACCCAACACAGCCAAAAAUUAAAAAAAAAAUAAAAAAUAAAAAUAGAACUACCAGAUGAUCCAGUAAUUCCACUCCUCGGUAUUUAUCCAAAGAAAACAAAACUAGUUCGAAAAGAUAUAUGCACCCCUGUGUUCAUUGCAGCAUUAUUUACAAUAGCCAAAAUAUGGAAGCAGCCUAAGUGCCCAUCCAUAGAUGAAUGGAUAAAGAGGAUGUGGAGUGUGUGUGUGUGUAUUUUCAUGACUGGGUAGUGAAAUAUUACCCAGUCAUGAAAACAGAAUGAAAUCUUGUCAUGUGCAACAACAUGGAUGGACCUAGGGGGUAUUAUGCUAAGUGAAAUAAGUCAGAUAGAGAAAGACAAAUACCAUAUGAUUUCACUUACUGUGGAAUCUAGAAAAACCAAAUGAACAAACAUAACAAAACAGAAACAGACUCAUAGAUACAGAGAACAAGCAGGUGUUUGCCAGAGAGGAGAGGAGUGGGGAGAGGAAAGAAAUAGUUGAGGAAGAUUGAGAGGUAUAAACUUCCAGUUACAAAAUAAAUGAGUCACGGGGUGAAAUGUACAACAUGGAGAAUAUAGUCAAUAAUAAUGUAAUAUCUUUGUAUGAUAACAGAUGGUGACUAGACUUACCAUGGUGAUCAUUUUGUAAUGUCUGGAAAUAUUGAAUUGCCGUGUUGUGCACCAGGAACUAACAUAGUGUUGUAGGUCAAUUCUACACCAAAAAAUAAACUUGGGAAUUCCCUGGUGAUCCAGUGGUUAGGACUCGGUGCUUUCACUGUCAAGGACCAGGGUUCAAUCCCUGGUCGGGGAUCUAAGAUCCCACAAGCCGUGCGGUACAGCUAAUAAUAAUAAUAAUAAUAAUAAAUAAACUCAUGGAAUAAGAGAUCAUAUUUGUGGUUACCAGAGGUGGGGGAAGGGAGAACUGAAUGGAGGUGGUCAAAAGGUACAAACUUCCAGUUAUAAGAUAGAUGAGUACUGGGGAUAUAAUGUUCAACAUGAUUAAUUAACACUGCUGUAUGUAAUACAUGAAAGUUGUUGAGAAUAAAUCCUAAGAGUUCUCAUCUCUAGGAAAAACGUUUUUUUCUUUUUAUUUUGUGUCUAUAUGAGAUGAUAGGUGUUCACUAAACUUAUUGUGGUAAUCAUGAUGUAUAUAAGUCAAAUUAUUAUGCUGUACACUUUAAACAGUGCUGUAUGUUAAUUAUAUCUCAAUAAAACUGGAAGGGAAAAAAAACCCACUUGGAGCUGAUCAGUGGAGAUAACAAAAGUUGUACAGUUGUCCCUUUGUAUCCAUGGGGGAUGGGUUCCAAGACCCCCAAUACCAAAAUCCAAGGAUGCUCAAGUCCCUUUUGUAUAACAGUGUAUGUAGCAUUUGCAUAUAACUUAUGCACAGCCUCCCAUGUACUUUAAAUUAUCUCUAGAUUACUUAUAGUACCUAAUACUAAUAUGUAAAUGCUGUGUAAAUAAUCUAAAUACAACAUAAAUGCUGUGUAAAUAGUUGCUGGCACACAGUA